UCCCUGGUAGCUUAGAUGGUAAAGCAUCCACCUGCAAUGUGGGAGACUUGGGUUCAAGCCCUGAGUCGGGAA
rnacentral:tRNA from 1 species